rnacentral:rRNA from 1 species
GACGAACGCUGGCGGCGUGCUUAACACAUGCAAGUCGAACGAUGAAGCCCAGCUUGCUGGGUGGAUUAGUGGCGAACGGGUGAGUAACACGUGGGCAACCUGCCCCAAACUCUGGGAUAACUCCUCGAAAGAGGUGCUAAUACCGGAUACGAACUGGACAGACAUCUGUACUAGUUGGAAAGUUUUUCGGUUUGGGAUGGGCCCGCGGCCUAUCAGAUUGUUGGUGAGGUAAUGGCUCACCAAGUCUAUGACGGGUAGCUGGAUCGAGAGGUUGAUCAGCCAGACUGGGACUGAGACACGGCCCAGACUCCUACGGGAGGCAGCAGUGAGGAAUUUUCCGCAAUGGGCGAAAGCCUGACGGAGCGACGCCGCGUGGAGGAUGAAGGUUUUCGGACUGUAAACUCCUUUUAUGUGGGAAGAUUAUGACUGUACCACAUGAAUAAGCACCGGCUAACUACGUGCCAGCCGCCGCCGUAA